UCCGUUUUCCUACAACAUGUAAGGCCCAUCAUUACUGUCAUGAGUUAUGAAUGAUCAUGUCUCUAGAGACUAGACAUCUAAAUCUAAACACUGAAAUCAGGAUGGCUGCCUGGUCUUGCGGUUUGCUCGCUGGACUGUCGUUCGGAUUUAUCGAGGGUUCAAAUCCUGCCCGCUCCCGUCGUCCUGCGGAAGGUUUGGACUAGGAGUAGGAAAUAAACUUAAAACUAUCUUCAGUCUUCAUCAACUCUUCACUUUAACAGACUGAACGUCUGAAGACAAUGACAAAUAAAGUGAAGAAACAUCCGAAACAAAACAUAUAUUUCAAAUUAUGAAUAGCAUCCUACCAAGAAGUACUUCUGAGGACUUAAAUAUGUGUCAAAUGCACAGACAAAAUCCAUUCCAUCCAGCUCAGCAUUAUGAGGCUUGCCUAACAAGUCAGCACAUGGAGUGUGAUAUUUGCAUGGGCAAGGUCAACGAUCUUGAGACUGACAGAUACUUUGGAAUUCAAGAAAAUGGCCAUUACUUGUUUCUGCGCGAGGUUUCUUGCAUGGUCAAUGUGUAAUAAUGAAGCCUAUCCAGUGUGCCAAACUCCUACUGGCCAUAUCGUAUGCUACAAAUAUCCAAAAGAAGUUGAUAGAAAUGUGAACAAAAUGCUCGUUGAAGAAAUAAAGACUCUUGAGGUAACUGGUCCAGUUGUCUCUUGCAGCCAUUUAUUUUUAAUAAUUUAUAAUUGAUGUGAUGGAAUUCAUCUAAACUUUGUCUAUUAAUAAAUGAAAUAACUUAAAAA